GACGAACGCUGGCGGCGUGCUUAACACGUGCAAGUCGAACGGAAAGGCCCUGCUUUUGUGGGGUGCUCGAGUGGCGAACGGGUGAGUAACACGUGAGUAACCUGCCCUUGACUUUGGGAUAACUUCAGGAAACUGGGGCUAAUACCGGAUAGGAGCUCCUGCUGCAUGGUGGGGGUUGGAAAGUUUCGGCGGUUGGGGAUGGACUCGCGGCUUAUCAGCUUGUUGGUGGGGUAGUGGCUUACCAAGGCGUUGACGGGUAGCCGGCCUGAGAGGGUGACCGGCCACAUUGGGACUGAGACACGGCCCAGACUCCUACGGGAGGCAGCAGUGGGGAAUAUUGCACAAUGGGCGGAAGCCUGAUGCAGCAACGCCGCGUGCGGGAUGACGGCCUUCGGGUUGUAAACCGCUUUCGCCUGUGACGAAGCGUGAGUGACGGUAAUGGGUAAAGAAGCACCGGCUAACUACGUG
rnacentral:rRNA from 1 species